GUAUUUUUUCCACAGGUGCAUGUGAAAUUUUGACUUUUGUAUUUUUGGUCUCGUAAACCUAUUGAAAUCUAAAGCAUUUCUUGGUAGUAGCAUUAAGGUAAUGGCCACAGAGUUUGUCAUACCUUUAAUAUUAGUAAGCUGGGGGCCUUACUCAUCAUUCUUGCUAUAAAUGUCUAAACCGUGGUGCUGUUCUGACCUUUUGAGGUAAGUGGUAAAUGUAACUUGGCUCACUUGGAGAUACAACUUCAGUGUAUCAUUGUUUUAUGACCCCAAAUCAAUGCAGUUGUCUUUUGUCUGUUGUAGGCUUUGCCAGUCUGUUGUAGACAGUGGCAGGGAAUCGUCCCGCUAGGUUUCACAUGGACAUAUUCUGUCGUGGAAAUGACUGUGAUUUACCGUGAAUUCCCAGGGUCCAGUAUAUGGUCAGAAGGAGCAGCCUCGGAGGGCUUAAAUUUACUUGAGCAUAUCAAUAGUUCUUAUAUUUCCCAGGGAGUGGAAAUUGUUUUUGACUUUUACAUCAAAAUAGGAUUUAAAAAAGGGUAAAAUGCCCAUAAAAAUAACUGGGACGAAGGAAAAAGACCUAGGUAUUCAUCCUAAACUGUAGACCAGUGGUCACUGUGGUUGGGCCCCACAUUUGGCCUUAGUCUGCCUGUCUGACAAAAUUAGUAGAGAGUCAUUGUCAGUUAUGCAAUUCUUGUCAUCAAGAAGGAAGAGAAAUACCUGCUUCUUAGGUGAAAAAGCUUUUUUUCUAGUACUAAAUUCUAGAAGAAAAAUUCACAUGGAACUACACAUAGUGAACAGUAGUCAUUUAAUAGUGUACCAAGUACUAUUUUUUUUAUUGUAAAUAAAAUUCGUUCUUGUAGCUCUGCAUCCUCCUCUAAUAGUCCCUGAGACCAACUCAGCACAAGCGUGCUGGGGAGGGGGGGCAGGAUAACGUGGACCAAGGUACCUCUUUGAUCCAAAGAUAAAGCUUUGUUUAUUUAAAGGGAUUACUGGGCUGCAUAGUUUUCAGAGACUAUUCCACAAAUUCUAGUCUCACUUCUCUUACCUUUUUUGGUAUUUUUUUAAAAAGAUUUUUUUUUUUUUUAAGUAAUCUCUACGCCCAGUACAGGGCUUGAACCCACAAUUCCAAGAUCAAGAGUUGCACCUCCACUGACUUAGCCAGCCAGAUGCCCCUUUUCUUGCAUUUUUAAACUUACUUUGAAAAAAUUUCAGAUUUACUAAAAAACUGCAAGAAGAGUACCAAAAAACACUAUUAUAUAUAUAUUUUUGGGGGGGGGGAAGGAAGGAAAGAGGGGUAGAGAGAGAGGGGCAGGCGUGGAGGGAGGGGCAGAGAGAGAAUCUUAAGUAGGCUCCGCACCCAGCGUGGAACCCAACGUGGGGCUGGAUCUCACAGCCUGAGAUCAUGAAGUGAGCUGAAAUCAAGAGUCGGACGCUUAACUGACUGAGCCACCCAGGCGCCCCUGCCUCUACUAUAUAUUCUUCAUCCAUUUUCACCAACUAUUAACAUUUGCUUUAUCAUUCUCUGUAUAAUCUAUACAUAUUAUUAUUUUUCUGCACUGUUUGAGAGGAAGUUGCAGAUAUUGUGCCCUUUUAUACCAAAAUACUUCAGUGCAUACUAAGAAGAGGGACUUCCUCUUACAUAAUCAGAGACCAAUGAUUUAAAGUAAAAAAAAGUCUGACAUUUAUGCAGUGGUAUUCUCUAAUAUGCUGUCUGGAUUCCCAUGAAUGGUCCUGUCUGUGUCUUGUGGACUCUUACUCCCCUCCCUCGUCCAGCACUUCACCUGUCUUUUAAGUCUCAUCCAACUGGACCAGUCCCUUAGCCUUGUUCUGGUUUUCAGGACGUUGACAUUUUUGGGAGCCAGUUGCUACGUAUACUGUCCCUCAGUGUCAGCUUGUCUGGUGUUUCCCCAUGAUAGAUUCAGGGUAUGCGUUUUUGUCAGGAAUAUUGCAGAAGCGACGCCCAUCUUUCUUGGUGCACCCCACCAGAAUCUCCCCACCCCCGGCAUUACUGAGAUAUAAUUGACAUAUAACAUUGUGUAAGUUUAAGGUUGUACAACAUUUUGAUUUGGUAUAUUUAUAUAUUGCAAAAUAAUUACCACCAUAGCUUUAGCUCACACCUCCCUCAUAUCACGUAGUUGCCAUUUCUUUUUUGUGGUGAGAACACUUAAGUUCUAGUCUCUUAGCAACUUUCAGGUUUAUAAUACAGUAUUACAGUGUAUAUAGUAUAUCACAGUAUAUAAUACAGUGAACAGUAUUACAGUACAGUGCUGUACUGUACAUGAGAUCCCUCUAGUCGGAAGGCUUAAAAUAGUGAUAUGCCUCCUCCUCAAUGAAGUUCACUUGGGUUAUUUGGAUGGGGUGAUGUCCACUAGAUAUCCCCACUGCAUUGUUCAUUUUUCCCUUUGUAAUUAAUGUCAUUUAUGGAGAGAUAUUUUGAGAUUAUGUAAAUCCCUGUUCUUCGUUAAACUUUCACCCAUUUGUCUUAGUCUCCAUUGGUGAUUUUUGCCCUAAUUGAUAAUUGCAGUGAUGAUGGCCAAAUUGUGAUUAUUUAUACUCUAGCGUCAUGUCUACAUUUAUUAAUUAAUGUUUUACUCUAAGCGCACACUUUCCCAUAGUUCUCAUCUAUUUAUUUAUCAUUUGUAUGGGUUAUUAUUCAAAAGGUUGUUCUUACUAUAUUUAAUGGGUUAUUAUCUGUUAUUGCCAUUAUUUGUUUUGACGCUUAAAUUGUUUGAGAUUUGACCAAUAAAAGCCCAUUCAAACUGUUUCUGGUGUUCUUUAGGCAUGGCCCUGUCUUUCUUUUUUCUUUUUUUUUUUUUUGAGCAUGUUGCUAUUAUCAAUAGACUGCAGUGAUAGUCUUGUGUGUGCAUACAUCUUUUUGUACUUUUUGCUGGGUAUAUCUGGGAUAGAUUUCUAGAAGUUUCUGGGUCAAAGAGUAACUGCAUAUGUAAUUUUGCUAGUGGGUGUGAAAUGCCACUCAGCAGUGUGUAUCCUCACCAGUAAUGUAUGAAACUGCCUGUGUCUUCUUACAGACUCACUAACAGAGUAUAUUGUCAAAUUUUUUUUUAUUUUUACCAAUCUAGAGGGUAAGAAAUGAUAUUAUAGUUUUAAUUUGAAUUUCUUCUUAUGUGGGAAGAUGGGCAUCUUUUCAUUUGGUUGAGAGACAUUUACAUUUCUGUAUUCUGUCGUGUCAUUUCUCUGGCCCAUUUUUCUGUGUGUUUUUGGUUUUGUGUUUCUUUGAUUUCGGAAGUAUUAGGGUGUUUGGAGGUCCCACAGACCGCUCCUGGCUUCAGUGAUUUGCUAGGAGCAAUUCCAGGACUGUAGUGAAAAAGUACAAAGCAAAAUCAGCCAAGGGAAAAGGCACAUGAAGCAGAGCCAGGAGGAAACCAGGAGCAAGCUUCCGGAGUCCUCUCUCACUGGAACCACACGGACGUGCUUCGUCAGCCUCCAGUUCUGACAGCACAUCAAGGAAGCUCCUUAAAGACUCCAUGCCCAGCAUUGUCGAGGCUGGCCACGGCACCCCUGCCUAGCACAUACCAAAAUUGCAGAGCCCCAUGAAGGAAAGCAGAUGUUCAGCUUAAACUAUUGUUUGCGUGGUUUAGGCACAGUGAAUACCAUUGAGGGAAUGGCGGGAAUCCUCCUGAGCCCAGCGUUCCCAGAUGCCAGCUGGGUGGCCAAGCUUGCAAGCAGGAUUUCUAAAGAGCACAGUCUUGGGCCUGUUAACUCUUUUCUGCGUGUUGGGCUGUUAGCUCUUGAUGAUUGUGGCAGCUUCUGGUGUUUCUAAAAUAAGAUGCUGACCUACAGAAUGGGAGAAGAUAUUCACAAAUGACAUAUUGGCUAAAGGGCUGGUAUCCAAAAUCUACAAAGAACUUAUCAAACUCAACACCCCAAAACCCAAAAAUCCACUAAAGAAAUGGUAAGAAGACAUGAACAGACAUUUCUCCAAAGAAGACAAACAAAUGGCUUAUAGACACAUGAAAAAAUGCUCCACAUCACUUGGCAUUAGGGAAAUGCAAAUCAAAACUACAAUGAGAUACCACCUCACACCAGUCAGAAUGGCUAAAAUUAACAAGUCAGGAAACGACGGAUGUUGGCGGGGAUGCGGAGAAAGGGGAACCCUCCUACACUGUUGGUGGGAAUGCAAGCUGGUGCAGCCACUCUGGAAAAACAGUAUGGAGGUUCCUCAAAAAGGUAAAAAUAGAGCUACCCUGUGACCCAGCAAUUGCACUACUAGGUAUUUAAUACAAAGGAUACAAACAUAGUGAUCCAAAGGGACUCCUGCACCCCAAUGUUUAUAGCAGCAAUGUCCACAACAGCCAAAAUAUGGAAAGAGUUAAGAUGUCUAUUGACAGAUGACUGGAAAAAGAAGAUGUGAUAUAUAUCUACAAUGGUAUAUUACUCAGCCAUCAAAAAGAAUGAAAUCUUGCAAUUUGUAACAAUGUGGAUGGAACUAGAGGAUAUUAUGCUAAGUGAAAGCAGUCAGUCAGGUAAAGACAACCACAUGAUUUUACUCAUAUGUGGAAUUUAAGAAACAAAACAGGAUCAUACGGGAAUGGAAGGAAAAAGAAAGUAAGAUUAAAUCAGAGAGGGACACAAACCGUAAGAGACUCUCAACUCUAGGGAACAAACUGAGGGUUGCUGAAGGGGAGGUGGGAGGAUGGGGUACCUGGGGGGUGGGCAUGAAGGAGGGCACGUGAUGUGAUGAGCACUGGGUUUAUAUGCAACUGAUGAAUCACUGAAUUCUACCUCUGAAACUAAUAAUACACUACACGUUAACUAAAUUGAAUUUAAAUAAAAAAAAGAUGCUGGCUUUUGCGCCACAACUGCUGCUCUGUGUGUGUGUGUGUGUGCACGUGCAUGUAUCAUGUUAGUAGUCCGUUUCUAUUUUUUGGAAUGUUUAUAUGGGUGUUGGAUGUUGUCACAUACUUUAUCAUAAAUGGAACAUGUAGUUUCUUCCUAAUCCAGUUAAUAUGAUGGGUUGUAUUAAUGGAUUUCCUCGUAGUGAACCACCUGCAUUCUGGGAUAAUCCCUGUUUGAUCAUGAUGCAUUAUUUUUUGCUGCGUAGGUAGAUUGUUAAUGUUUUAUUUAGGUUUUUGCAUCAGUAUUAAGUGUGAGUGAUUUAUAGUUUGGUUUUUUGGUGGAAUCCCUGUCAGAUUUUGAGAUCAGUGUCACACUCUCUUCAUAAAGAAAUUAAGAAAUUUCCCUUCUCUUUCCGUGCUCUGGAGUAGUCUGUUGUGGUGUUGGGAUUACCUGAGUUUUAAGGUCUUGGUAGAAUUACCCCAAGAAACUGUCUGGAUGGACUUAGUGCUUGCUUGUAGGGAGACUUCUGCUACUCAUCCUAAUUCUUAAAAGCCUGUUGGAUGUUCCGUCUCAAGUGGAAUCAAUUUUUUUGUGUUGUAUUUGUCUAAAAAAUUUUCAUUUCAUCUAGAUUUUUCAAAUGUAUGUAUAUAUUAGCCUCAUGAUUUAAAAAAAUGUCUUCUGUAUUUAUGGUUAUUUUCCCUUUUGUCACUCAAAUUUGUGUGUUUUGUUCUCAUCCUUUUUCUUGGUUUACCUAGUGACUUGUCUUGUGCAUCUUUUUUCAAAGAAUGAGCUUUGGGGUUUACUUACUGGUUUUGUGAUUUUUCUGUUUUUUGACUCAUUUAUGCUGCUUUUAUUUUUAUUUUUUUUCUGCUUUCCUUUGUUUUUGUCUGUUUUUGAAUUGGAUGUUAUAUUCAUUUUUAUUUUUUCCUUUAAUUGAAGGUACUUAAUACUACAGAAUUUUGGCUGCUAUAUCUUAAGCUGUAUGUAUCCCUUAGAUUUAGAUAUAUUUUUUAUUAUAAUUUUCAAGAAAUUUCUGUAUUUUUGGGGCGCCUGGGUGGCUCAGUCGUUAAGCGUCUGCCUUCGGCUCAGGUCAUGGUCCCGGGGUCCUGGGAUCGAGCCCCGCAUCGGGCUCCCUGCUCGGCGGGAGGCCUGCUUCUCCCUCUCCCUCUCCCCCUGCUUGUGUUCCCUCUCUCGCUGUGUCUCUCUCUGUCAAAUAAAUAAAUAAAAUCUUAAAAAAAAAAAAAAAGAAAAGAAAUUUCUGUAUUUUUCUUUCGAGUUUCCCCCACAACUAGUAUUUCUAUACUAGCAUGUUUUAAAAUUUUCAGGUAUAGAGGCCUGUUUAUUUUUUUAAUUUUGUUUUUAAUUUCUAGUGUUGUUGCAGCAUGUUCAGAGAGUGCUCUUUGCUUUAUUUCUAUUCUUUGGACUUGAUGGUGUCUAAGACGUGGUCGGUUCUGCGCAUGUUCUGCCUGUACGUGAAGAUCUGUUCUCUGUUAGUGUGUUCAGAGUUCGACGUGAGCUGCCUUAUGCAUGGUGUUAUUUAUGUCUUGCAGUUUUUCCCCCACUUACUCUGUGUUGGGCUGAGGGUGGUGUGUCAGGUCUUCUGUCACUAUUUCCCCUUGCUUUGUGCAGGUACGGUACUGCUGCCUCAUGGAGUGUCUCCCCCAGCUGGUGCUGUAGCGGGUGAUGGCGCCCUGUCUCCGGGGGCCUUUCGGGCUCCUGAGAGUCUGCGAUCUGCUUUGCCAGAAAGUAAAAGGAUGGUCAAAUACAUACCAAACAAACGCAGGGGUAUUAUUUAAACACAAUGUGAAAAGUUUUGAUAAAAAUUUAGACUUCAUCUCAGAGUAAUAUGCACGCUAAUUAAGAGUCAGGUAGCGCUCAGAGGCUAAUGUGCAGACAUGGGGUGCUGUCCUGCCUGCUCUUCUGUCUUUGCCCAGAAACAGCUACUUUCAGCUUUUCAUUCUGCGUCUUCUAGCAUUUAUGGAUUUGCGUGUUUCUAAAUAAUGGGCAUGUGGAUCUGUCUUUUGAUUAUCAGUUUUUCACGUUAUCUGUUAAUUUACUGUUGUUAGAUGAUGGUGUCUUGCAUCCUGCCUUUGCCCUGUUUCUCCUCCCCUGUUCUCCCAACAGAGGUAUAUUAUUACAUUUUCCGCUUAAUUUGUGAUCACUGUUUGUAUUACAGUGCAAGUAUACAUCCUCGUUCAUGAAAGUGUACCGUGUUUUUUCUCUUAAAUUUUGUUGUUAUGGAACUUAAUGAUUGCCUCCUUUGUUUUGUUUUCUUUGUAUCCACUGCUAAUUAUUUUCCAUAUUUUCAAAUAGCCACCUUCUCAGUACAGUUUUCCAUAAGGCUAAUCACAUUAUACGCCCUACCAGAGUAUGUUUGUUUUUGAAGACCUCCCCUUUGCAGACCUCUGUCCUCCUCUCUGGGGUGGUUGCUUCCCAGGCCUGCCACAUAGCCCGGGACUUUCCUUAUAACCUUCUAGGCCUUUCCUUUGCCUUUCUCCUGGAUUGAGUGUGUUUCCCAAGUGCAUUCCUUCCUGCUCUCUGCUUUCCUCCCUGCUGGUGGUCCUCCAGUAGCCAGCUUUGUGGAGCAGGGAAGGUAACCCGGCGGUGCAGGGGUUCGUGGUGGGUGCCUUUGCCAUGCCCAGGUCCUGAGUCUCACGUCUACCCAUCUGACCCGUGCACGUUUGUCAUCCUGGCAUCUCCUGCCAUUGUUCUGAGGGUUCACGAACCUCUCGCCUGUGUGUCUCUUCCAUGUCUUCUUUUUUGGUUUUCUCCUUUGUUUUGGUAGAGGGCAUCCUCCAGUAGCUUUCUGGGAAAGGACAUGUGGGAGGUAAAUUUUUAAAAUGUCUUGCUUUUCUGAAAUGUUUUAUCUCUAAUCCCUCACUUGGUUGAUUGUUAGAGUGUAGUAUUCAGUGUUGGAAAUAAUUUUCCUUCAGAAUUUUUAAGACGCUGAUUCUUUGUUUUCUUGCUUCUGGUUUUGCUGCUGAGAAGUCUGAACACUUUGUAAAUGACUUUGACUCCCCCAUUCUCCUUUCUGGGAGCUUUUAGGAGUUCUCUUUGUCACUGGUUUCUGAAAUUUCACAACAACGUGCCUUGAAGUGGGUUUGUGUUCCUUUGUUGUGCUGGGCAUUUUGUGCGCUCCUUCCGUCUGGAAACGAGCAUCUUUGAAUUCUGGGUAAUUCUUUCAGAUUAUUUCUUCCUCCGCUGUGUGUGUGUGUUGUGUGUGUGUCCCGUGCUUGUGUGCACGCUUUCUGCAA